UACGGAGGUUGCGAGCGUUAUCCGGAUUUAUUGGGUUUAAAGGGUGCGUAGGCGGGAUUAUAAGUCAGUGGUGAAAACCUGCAGCUUAACUGUAGAACUGCCAUUGAUACUGUUAUUCUUGAGUGCAGUUGAGGUAGGCGGAAUGUGUAGUGUAGCGGUGAAAUGCUUAGAUAUUACACAGAACACCGAUUGCGUAGGCAGCUUACUAAACUGUAACUGACGCUGAGGCACGAAAGCGUGGGGAUCAAACAGG
rnacentral:rRNA from 1 species